rnacentral:lncRNA from 1 species
CGCCUCACAACGUUGCGGUUCCGCGCUUUAAGGAUUACGGCGUGGCGGUUGCGCGGCCAGUUUUGCAGGAAAAGCACUACUGCUCGUGUGUGAGGGAUGCUUCGACCUCGGCACUCGACUGGGCGUGACAGGAAGCAGAGGUGUCGGCCUCUAUUUGCGGGGUGUCUCUAGCUACUGGACUCCGGGAUGCUUCCCUCACACUCUCGCGAGGGAUCAGGCACUGGGAAGCAGCUUCUGAAAGUCUGGAGCUGAGAUCUGGCUUCUCCAGUUGGAAGCACACAUGCCAAACUGCUCUGGAGACGCCGGAGGCAUCGGCAGAUCCCAGACGAGCGUUGAGUGAAGGCUGUGAUCUGCCUUACCGGUCACCUCACUCAGGACACAGCGCUCGCACGUUGCAGCAGCUCCAGACCCCACUACUACCGGAAAGUUACAGGUACCGGAACCAAGAAGACCAGCGCGGCCCAGGAACAGCGGAGGAAAACUCUUCCCAGGAUGGUCUCCCACUCAGAGCUGAGGAAGCUCUUCUGUUCGGCUGAU